rnacentral:rRNA from 1 species
AUUGAACGCUGGCGGCAUGCCUUACACAUGCAAGUCGAACGGCAGCACGGGUGCUUGCACCUGGUGGCGAGUGGCGAACGGGCGAGUAAUACAUCGGAACGUACCUUAUCGUGGGGGAUAACGCAGCGAAAGCUGUGCUAAUACCGCAUACGCCCUGAGGGGGAAAGCGGGGGAUCGCAAGACCUCGCGCGAUUAGAGCGGCCGAUGCCUGAUUAGCUUGUUGGUGGGGUAAAAGCCCACCAAGGCGACGAUCAGUAGCUGGUCUGAGAGGACGAUCAGCCACACUGGGACUGAGACACGGCCCAGACUCCUACGGGAGGCAGCAGUGGGGGAAUUUUGGACAAUGGGGGCAACCCUGAUCCAGCAAUGCCGCGUGAGUGAAGAAGGCCUUCGGGUUGUAAAGCUCUUUUGUCAGGGAAGAAACACCGGCUCUAACACAGUCCGGGAAUGACGGUACCUGAAGAAUAAGCACCGGCUAACUACGUGCCAGCAGCAGCCGCGGUAA